UGCUUAUUCUAGUUGGGAUAUAGGAAUUUGCACCAAAAAAAUUAAGUUUUUUUUCUUUUUUGCAGAACCUUGCUGAAGCAAUGCUGGAGAGACGGAAAUCUGAUUUAUUUCUAAUAAUCAUCGGUUCUCUGACAUCUGUGUCAAAAAGGCAACCAGUUGUGUAAAGGUGGUUCUCACCUGAAAAAUUUUAGGGGCAGAAACAAGAAAUCCAAGAGCAGAAGACAAGGUGGCUGCAAAGACACCAGCAACAAUGAGUAUGAAGUACCUUCUGCAGGAUGAAAAGGAACAAAUUUUAAUCAAGAGUUGGCAGCAGAAAGCAGGAAUGAAAAGGACCCAAUAUGCUGAACAAUGAAUGAAUGUUGUCUCACCAAUGCCUGCUUGAGAGGUAAUC